rnacentral:misc_RNA from 1 species
UAGAGUUGUAAAACUCCCAAAACCCAUGUGAACAUACCUGUUGCCUCGGCGGGCCUACCCUGUAGCUACCCUGUAGCUCGAGGUCAGAACCGCCGAAGGACCAUUAAACUCUUUUAUCUCUGUAUCUCUGAGUAAAAAACAAAUAAGUUA